rnacentral:rRNA from 1 species
UACGUAGGGUGCAAGCGUUGUCCGGAAUUAUUGGGCGUAAGGAGCGUGUAGGCGGCCAGGUAGGUCUGCUGUGAAAACUCGAGGCUUAACCUCGAGCUGUCGGCGGAAACCAUCUGGCUAGAGUCCGGAAGAGGAGAAUGGAAUUCCCGGUGUAGCGGUGAAAUGCGCAGAUAUCGGGAAGAACACCCGUGGCGAAGGCGGUUCUCUGGGACGGUACUGACGCUGAGACGCGAA